UCACAGGGAACUGUCCUUGCCCCCAGCAGGAGGGGGCUGUGAUCCCAUUCCCACAAAAGGAUCUCCUGGAUGGACUGCUGGCCCGAACCAGCGCGGUGAAUCCCACGUUAACUUAAAAAACAUUAAAAUGAUAACUUCAUCUCGAGUUACUUUCCUAUUCAUCUAUAGAAUUUCUCAAUUAUGUAUGACUAAUUUUGCACAAAGUCAUUAUUUGGAGCAAUUUGUCUAAGUAUGAGAGGCAACACCUUCAACCUUCCUGGAUGGUGGGUGGGGAAAAUGUCAUAAUCAGUUCUGCUUUGGCAUGAGUUAUUAAGCGGUCACAGGAGUUCAAAGGAGAGAAAUAAUGAACAGCCUGUUUGCAGCCAUGCUGUAAUUGCUGCUGCUGGAGAAGCCUCCUCGUUGGGGGAGAGGACAAGUAGCCGCACGACAGCUCAGAGCAAACCCUCUCCCAUCUUCCCAGGGCACAUUUUGUACACCAGAACAGAGAUCCCAGCUCCGAGAUGCCCAGCUCCAGCCCAGAGGUGUCCCAGCCCCACUGCUCCAGCAGAAGGGAGGGAGGGAACUGAUUACAGAAGAGCUGGAGACAAACAACAAACAGACAAACGUACAAAUUAUUUUCACAUCCACCUCCUAAUUGCUUGUUAAAAACCCUCUAGGAGUGCAGGAUCAAAUGGGACACGUUGCUGGAACAGGGUCUCCCCUUUAUUUGGAAAGGGGGAAAACAGUGGAAGGAAUGAAGUGCAGGGCUGGAGUCGAGUCAGAUGAGUUCAAGUGGUGGCUCUCUGUGUAUCUUAGAAGAUAACCCUGAGAGAAACGAGCAGCUCCUCUUUCCUGUGCCGUGUCUGCCUCCCCUUUUCAAAAGCCCCACCAGCACUUAUUCAAAAGUACUGCAGACUUUGAUGUCUGGAGAUGAAAAGCAGUUUUGAGUGUUUAUGCUUCCAGACCCUGAGUGCCAGCUGGCUCCAGGUGGAAAAACGACCCAAGAAGAAGGAACAUAAAAGUUGCAAAAUCGUUUUUGAAGAGUCUUCCCCCCACCUGAAUCCUGAUGAAAGAUGUUUUUUUUUGCAGAAUGGGAAGGAGCAGCCCUGGCUCCCGAUGCCAGCCUGCCCCGCUCGGCUCUCCCAGAUGAAGAUGUUUAUUCCAGCUCGUCGGGAAGAUUCUCUUGGCGUUGCCUCCAAAGCCAUUAUGCAGGUGAUUAACCCAUUUAUUUUCAGCUGCGUGCCUUGUCAAACGCGGCAGAACAAACGCCAGGGGAUGAAAGCAGAGUUCCCAUUUCGGGGCCGGCCCUUUCUCUCCCCUUUGGGGGAAUUUUGCUGCAAUUGCAGCGAGGAAUUUGCCACAUCUGCUGCAGCUCCUGCAGGCUCCGAGCGCUGCCUGAGCCCGGCUCCGAUGGAAAUGGGGAUUCGGCUGGAUAUUGCAUUUCCUCGGACUUCAAAAUGCAAAUUGCAGCCGGCUUGGACAGAGCCAGCCUUGGAUGUGGGAGCUGCGAUUCCAAAGUUAUUCCAUCAAAUGGGAGUCAGGGAUCCGCAGCUCAGUUUCUGUUCCAGCCGCUGGUUGUGGCGCUAAGGGAGGCAAUAAUCUGUUUAUUCUCCUGUCAUUGUGUUAAUCAGCUUUUAAUUUAAGGCUGUGUCAGGAGUGGUUGGAGAUCUCUGUUGCUGUGAAUACCCGAGCACAGAGAGAUGUGCACGCACUCUGAAAAUGUGCCUGGGAUCAGAUCUCAGGGGCUCCUCUGCUGCUGCCUGAUGGAGAUAUAAUUGGGAGAAUAUAAAGAGAGAUUGUUUGGAGGUAACCAAAGAAACCCUGGCACUAGCCGUGUUUUAAAUCAUCAGCUACCUUGAACACGGGUAAUAAAACACAGUGUAACACAUAUUUUCA
rnacentral:lncRNA from 1 species